UUCAGCUCUGGGAGCAGAGAUCAAACCGUACCUGGAUGACGGGAGGCCAGUCCCAGACUCGCUGGUUCUGCAGGUUCUGGAGGAGCGUCUGAGCCGAGUGGACUGCAGCAGCAGAGGCUGGGUCCUCCACGGCUUCCCCCGAGACCUGCAGCAGGCCAAGAGCCUGAAGGAGAGCCAGCACCAGCCCAACAGAGUCUUCUUCCUGGAGCUGACUGAUGACGUGUGUGUGGACAGAGUCAGUCUCAGAGGGACCGACCCGCUCAGUGGACAGAGGUUCCACGCUGUGACUCGACCCGCUCCGAACUCCGAGGUCCAGAACCGACUGAGGACAAGACCCGAGGACAGCACACACACUGUGACACACACACUAAGCCAGUACAGGACACACACUGCAGCCCUGCAGUCUGUGUAUCCAGAUGGACUUCACGUUGAUGCUGAUCAGGAUCCUCACUCUGUGUUUGAAGCUCUGGAGAGCCGCCUGACGACUGAGUGACUCACCUGGACGGACAGGAAGUGGACAGACAGGAAGUGGACAGACAGGAAGUGGACAGACAGGAAGUGGACUCUGUCGUUCUCUCAUCGUUUAUUCAAAAUGUUUAAGAACAAAUAAAAUGUUAGUUAUCCGUCUGUGAACGGAGCUCUGUGUUGGGCGACAGAUUGUUGUGUAUGAAAUAUAGUGUAACGUUGAUGUAACGUUGAUGUAACGUUGAUGUAACGUUGAUGUAACGUGUAGGUUAAGAUGUGGGAAUGACGUUCUAAUAAAGCAGCUGAUGAUCAAA